rnacentral:lncRNA from 1 species
CUUACCUCUGCUAAGCAUCAUCAAGAUUUACUACUCUGACAACAGACCAGGAAUGUUAUUUCAGAAUAAGGGUGGAUAAGAGAGAUGCAAACGCACGCACACACACACGUAUGUGCAUGAUUACAAUCUGAGGGCAGCAUUAGGGCUGCAUUCACCAAGGAAAAGGUGGACAGACACCCCAGCCACCAUGAGGACAGCAGGCGUGGUGGUGCUGCUGGCUCUCGCCCUUUGCUGCUGCCCAGAUACCGUUGCACUGAAGGAGAAGCCGUCGGACUCUCAGGUUGCUGUACCUUCGAGAGUGCUAACACCUCAACUGUCUCCAGCUCAGACAGGAGACUCCUCCCUGGCAAUAUUCCCUAUGGCAGAGGCUGCCCUAAAACCUCAUCCUGAACUUUGAGAGCUCCUGAUAAAGCCUGAAAUGAAACUCUGCCCAAUAAAACAAAUAAACAAACAACAACAACCCUUCAGCAUGUACGUCUUGUUUUAAUAAUAUGUCUCACGAUGUUUUGUUUUUUUUCUUAAGGUGUUUUGUGAUUAUUUCACUGCAACACUCCUGGGGUGUGGGUAUUAAUGGGUAAAUUACAGGGAGAGAGAAUGCAUUGUCUGAUCUACAAAGAAAUCAGCUCCAUCUCCGAAGGCAAUGAGUUUCUCUGAGGGCCUUCACCCAGAUUUCCUAAAGACAACCAGAGCUGGGGAUGCAACCUGGUGCAAUGCUCCAGUGGAUUUAUCCUGCUAAGGGCAUCCCAAACAGACGCUCACUGCCUCCCUAGCAGGUGAGGAGAGAGGUGGCAAAGAAGGGCACUUCCCAGCUGCAUCUCCCCCCAUGGAAGUGGGGUAGCAAACACACCCGCAGGUGGGUGAAGUCUUUUAGCAGUCACUUUCUGUGCCUCCCCAAGCAGCAGGACAGGAUGUUUCCCCAGGCAGGGGGCACCUGCCUGCCUGCAUUUAUGCUCGUGACACUCAUCGGGGUGCGGGUGAUGUUCAGAGGACUGUGAGCAGGAGCUUCCGCAGCCCGUUUCGGCACCUCACCCACCACUUAGCUGCUGCUUGUAGGUAAUUGCGUCAGCUGCCACUUGUAGAGGAUCCUUUGAGAUUCUUGGGCCUCUGGAAAUCUUGGCUGAUGAAAGGAAGGGCUCAGAGUCAUAGCAUUAAUUUAUUAUUCAUUACCAGCAAAGUGCCGGCAGUGCAGCGGGCUGUACGGGCAGCCGUCUCACAGCCAAAUAGUUAAUGAUCUUAAGUGACAACGUGCCGCUUUCCAGAGACCAGAGAGAGCGGCUCUCUGGAGGGAGACUAUUUAUUUCCAGAAGAUGUGUGUGUGUGCAACCACUCAGCACCAAGCCCCUUCCUGGGGCUGGGAUGUCCCUCCUGGGGGUGGGAUGUCUGGGUGUGGGGAGGCAUUUCGGGACCAAGGGCAAUGCU